CGUUAUGGCGGCUGUGCGCGGGAGACUUUCGAGUCUGCCGGGUUUUGCUCCUUCACUCCGGUUUUCCAGCCCGCGCAUAGCUGCCACCCUC
rnacentral:antisense_RNA from 1 species